GUGCCAGCAGCCGCGGUAAUUCCAGCUCCAAUAGCGUAUAUUAAAGUUGUUGUGGUUAAAAAGCUCGUAGUUGAACCUUGGGCCUGGCUGGCCGGUCCGCCUCACCGCGUGCACUGGUCCGGCCGGGCCUUUCCCUCUGUGGAACCCCAUACCCUUCACUGGGCGUGGCGGGGAAACAGGACAUUUACUUUGAAAAAAUUAGAGUGCUCCAGGCAGGCCUAUGCUCGAAUACAUUAGCAUGGAAUAAUAAAAUAGGACGCGCGGUUCUAUUUUGUUGGUUUAUAGGACCGCCGUAAUGAUUAAUAGGGACAGUCGGGGGCAUCAGUAUUCAACUGUCAGAGGUGAAAUUCUUGGAUCAGUUGAAGACUAACUACUGCGAAAGCAUUUGCCAAGGAUGUUUUCAUUAAUCAGGGACGAAAGUUAGGGGAUCGAAGACGAUCAGAUACCGUCGUAGUCUUUAACCAUAAACUAUGGCCGACUAGGGGUCGGACGUGUUAUUCAUGACCCGUUCGGCACCUUACGAAGAAUCCAAGUGCUUGGGCUCCGGGGGGAGAUUGGUCACCAGGCUAAAACUUAAAGAAAUUGACGGAAGGGCACCGCCGGGGGUGGAGCCUGCGGUUUAAUUUUACUCGACACCGGGAAACUCACAAGUCCCAGAGAGAUAAGGUUUGACAGAUUGUAGUGAUCUUUCUUGAUUUUGGGGUCGGGGUGAAAUGGACGUCCUUAAUUGGCGGGGUGACUAUGCGUGCAUAAUACAGAAGACAGAGGACACUGUGU
rnacentral:rRNA from 1 species